rnacentral:lncRNA from 1 species
AAGUGUAUGCGUGUCGACAUGUAUAUUUUUGUAUCAUGUUUUUAGCUCGAAUUUAUCGAUUAGCAUGUUAAACGAAAUCUGAAUUUGGAGUAUACUGUAGUGAGUUAGAUAAAUGAUACAUGUUGGACUUGAAUUUGACAUAGGAGAAAACCGGCGAUUCUAUAAUGUCAUAUGUUGAAACUACCAGAUUUAGCUCUAGGAGCCGUAGUUUGUUUUUAUCGCCACAGUUUAUGGGCAGUGAAUACUCGGAAUAGUGUAGAAUGCAUUUACGCUCGUGCUGGGAUGCCGAGUGUAUUUUUACAGCAGUGUUUAGGCUGUACCGGAUUGUCGGGUGCCGUUGAGGUUGACGAUGGACCCAGAUUGCUGUUUUUGCAUCAGAUUGUACCGAGGGCACAUGAGU